GAUGAACGCUAGCGGCAGGCCUAAUACAUGCAAGCCGAACGGCAAGAUUGAUAGCAAUAUUGAUCCUAGAGUGGCGUAAGGGUGCGUAACACGUAUGCAAUCUACCCUCAACAGGAGGAUAGCUCCCCGAAAGGGGAAUUAAGACUCCAUAAGAUCAUUUGGUGGCAUCAUUGAAUGAUUAAACUUCCAGGGGUUGAGGAUGAGCAUGCGCCNGAUUAGUUAGUUGGCGGGGUAAGGGCCCACCAAGACGAUGAUCAGUAGGGGAACUGAGAGGUUGAUCCCCCACACUGGCACU
rnacentral:rRNA from 1 species